rnacentral:rRNA from 1 species
UACAGAGGUCUCAAGCGUUGUUCGGAAUUACUGGGCGUAAAGGGCGCGUAGGCUGCGCCGUAAGUCAGAUGUGAAAGCCCAGGGCUCAACCCUGAAAUUGCAUCCGAUACUGCGGUGCUUGAGAAAUGAAGGGGAGUCUAGAAUUUUCGGUGUAGCAGUGAAAUGCGUAGAUAUCGAAAGGAAUACCAAAGGCGAAGGCAGGACUCUGGGCAUUUUCUGACGCUGAUGCACGAAGGCCAGGGUAGCGAACGGG